GCAUUAAUGGGGUAGUGGUAACCUGGGUCGUUGCCAUACAGGGCUUAGCUAUGACUAGUCUCGACCCGCCGGGGGUUCGAUUCCCUCUUAAUGCA